AUAUCUUUCAUGGCCUUUUGGCUAAGAUCAAGUGUAGUAUAUGUUCUUAUCAGUUUAAUAUCUGAUAUGUCAAUUUUUAUGUCCAUGUGAUAUUAAAUUAAUUUUUUUUUGAAGAUGAUUAGCUUAUGUAGCUUGCUACAUGGGUCAUAGUGUAUCGCCCUAGCAUUGCACUAAAAAAGCUAAGUUUUUCUUUAAAACUAAA
rfam:Triticum aestivum genome assembly, contig: Triticum_aestivum_CS42_TGACv1_scaffold_129888_2BL